rnacentral:ncRNA from 2 species
AUAGGCUCGCCCCGCGUCGGUCUGGCCGGGAGAUGUCCCGGCCGGCCAAGAGGGAAUCUGGUGAGAAUCCAGAGCUGCCCCGCAGCGGUGACGGAAACGAUGGUGGCCAGGGCACUGGGUCGGUGACGACCUGGGAAGCGGCCAUCGGUAGGUGGCACGGAGGUGCCGGAGUCCGGAGUCCGAAGACCUGCCGACGUGACCGCGGAACA